UUAAGUUAGAAAGGGCGCACGGUGGAUGCCUUGACACUAGGAGUCGAUGAAGGACGGGACUAACGCCGAUAUGCUUCGGGGAGCUGUAAGUAAGCUUUGAUCCGAAGAUUUCCGAAUGGGGAAACCCACCAUACGUAAUGGUAUGGUAUCCUUAUCUGAAUACAUAGGGUAAGGAAGACAGACCCAGGGAACUGAAACAUCUAAGUACCUGGAGGAAGAGAAAGCAAAUGCGAUUUCCUGAGUAGCGGCGAGCGAAACGGAACAUAGCCCAAACCAAGAGGCUUGCCUCUUGGGGUUGUAGGACAUUCUAUACGGAGUUACAAAGGAACGAGGUAGACGAAGCGACCUGGAAAGGUCCGUCGUAGAGGGUAACAACCCCGUAGUCGAAACUUCGUUCUCUCUUGAAUGUAUCCUGAGUACGGCGGAACACGUGAAAUUCCGUCGGAAUCUGGGAGGACCAUCUCCCAAGGCUAAAUACUCCCUAGUGAUCGAUAGUGAACCAGUACCGUGAGAGAAAGGUGAAAAGCACCCCGGAAGGGGAGUGAAAGAGAUCCUGAAACCGUGUGCCUACAAAUAGUCAGAGCCCGUUAAUGGGUGAUGGCGUGCCUUUUGUAGAAUGAACCGGCGAGUUACGAUCCCGUGCGAGGUUAAGCUGAAGAGGCGGAGCCGCAGCGAAAGCGAGUCUGAAUAGGGCGUUUAGUACGUGGUCGUAGACCCGAAACCAGGUGAUCUACCCAUGUCCAGGGUGAAGUUCAGGUAACACUGAAUGGAGGCCCGAACCCACGCACGUUGAAAAGUGCGGGGAUGAGGUGUGGGUAGCGGAGAAAUUCCAAUCGAACCUGGAGAUAGCUGGUUCUCCCCGAAAUAGCUUUAGGGCUAGCCUUAAGUGUAAGAGUCUUGGAGGUAGAGCACUGAUUGGACUAGGGGUCCUCAUCGGAUUACCGAAUUCAGUCAAACUCCGAAUGCCAAUGACUUAUCCUUAGGAGUCAGACUGCGAGUGAUAAGAUCCGUAGUCAAAAGGGAAACAGCCCAGACCGCCAGCUAAGGUCCCAAAGUGUGUAUUAAGUGGAAAAGGAUGUGGAGUUGCUUAGACAACUAGGAUGUUGGCUUAGAAGCAGCCACCAUUUAAAGAGUGCGUAAUAGCUCACUAGUCGAGUGACUCUGCGCCGAAAAUGUACCGGGGCUAAAUACACCACCGAAGCUGCGGAUUGAUACCAAUGGUAUCAGUGGUAGGGGAGCGUUCUAAGGACAGUGAAGUCAGACCGGAAGGACUGGUGGAGUGCUUAGAAGUGAGAAUGCCGGUAUGAGUAGCGAAAGACGGGUGAGAAUCCCGUCCACCGAAUGCCUAAGGUUUCCUGAGGAAGGCUCGUCCGCUCAGGGUUAGUCAGGACCUAAGCCGAGGCCGACAGGCGUAGGCGAUGGACAACAGGUUGAUAUUCCUGUACCACCUCUUUAUCGUUUGAGCAAUGGAGGGACGCAGAAGGAUAGAAGAAGCGUGCGAUUGGUUGUGCACGUCCAAGCAGUUAGGCUGAUAAGUAGGCAAAUCCGCUUAUCGUGAAGGCUGAGCUGUGAUGGGGAAGCUCCUUAUGGAGCGAAGUCUUUGAUUCCCCGCUGCCAAGAAAAGCUUCUAGCGAGAUAAAAGGUGCCUGUACCGCAAACCGACACAGGUAGGCGAGGAGAGAAUCCUAAGGUGUGCGAGAGAACUCUGGUUAAGGAACUCGGCAAAAUGACCCCGUAACUUCGGGAGAAGGGGUGCUUUCUUAACGGAAAGCCGCAGUGAAUAGGCCCAAGCGACUGUUUAGCAAAAACACAGCUCUCUGCGAAGCCGUAAGGCGAAGUAUAGGGGGUGACACCUGCCCGGUGCUGGAAGGUUAAGGAGAGGGGUUAGCGUAAGCGAAGCUCUGAACUGAAGCCCCAGUAAACGGCGGCCGUAACUAUAACGGUCCUAAGGUAGCGAAAUUCCUUGUCGGGUAAGUUCCGACCCGCACGAAAGGUGUAACGAUUUGGGCACUGUCUCAACCAGAGACUCGGUGAAAUUAUAGUACCUGUGAAGAUGCAGGUUACCCGCGACAGGACGGAAAGACCCCGUGGAGCUUUACUGUAGCCUGAUAUUGAAUUUUGGUACAGUUUGUACAGGAUAGGCGGGAGCCUUUGAAACCGGAGCGCUAGCUUCGGUGGAGGCGCUGGUGGGAUACCGCCCUGACUGUAUUGAAAUUCUAACCUACGGGUCUUAUCGACCCGGGAGACAGUGUCAGGUGGGCAGUUUGACUGGGGCGGUCGCCUCCUAAAGUGUAACGGAGGCGCCCAAAGGUUCCCUCAGAAUGGUUGGAAAUCAUUCGUAGAGUGCAAAGGCAUAAGGGAGCUUGACUGCGAGACCUACAAGUCGAGCAGGGACGAAAGUCGGGCUUAGUGAUCCGGUGGUUCCGCAUGGAAGGGCCAUCGCUCAACGGAUAAAAGCUACCCCGGGGAUAACAGGCUUAUCUCCCCCAAGAGUCCACAUCGACGGGGAGGUUUGGCACCUCGAUGUCGGCUCAUCGCAUCCUGGGGCUGUAGUCGGUCCCAAGGGUUGGGCUGUUCGCCCAUUAAAGCGGUACGCGAGCUGGGUUCAGAACGUCGUGAGACAGUUCGGUCCCUAUCCGUCGUGGGCGUAGGAAAUUUGAGAGGAGCUGUCCUUAGUACGAGAGGACCGGGAUGGACGCACCGCUGGUGUACCAGUUGUUCUGCCAAGGGCAUAGCUGGGUAGCUAUGUGCGGAAGGGAUAAGUGCUGAAAGCAUCUAAGCAUGAAGCCCCCCUCAAGAUGAGAUUUCCCAUAGCGUAAGCUAGUAAGAUCCCUGAAAGAUGAUCAGGUUGAUAGGUUCGAGGUGGAAGCAUGGUGACAUGUGGAGCUGACGAAUACUAAUAGAUCGAGGACUUAACCAU
rnacentral:rRNA from 1 species